ACGUAGGACCCGAGCGUUGUCCGGAAUUACUGGGUAUAAAGGGUGCGCAGGCGGCCGUGUGCGUCAGAGGUGAAAUCUCCGGGCUUAACCCGGAGGGUGCCUUUGAUACGGCAUGGCUUGAGUCCGAGAGAGGGUGAUGGAAUUCCUGGUGUAGCAGUGAAAUGCGUAGAUAUCAGGAGGAACACCGGUGGCGAAGGCGGUCACCUGGCUCGGCACUGACGCUUAGGCACGAAAGCGUGGGGAUCAAACAG
rnacentral:rRNA from 1 species